GCUAAGGUUACUCUUAUCAUAAAUGAGGGGACAGGCGUUUGGGGUAUAGGUCUCCCCUGAUGCUGGGUGGCUGCUCAGAGUCACUGGCAUACCCUAGAGGAAUAAUCACAGAAUCACAGAAUUUCUAGGUUGGAAGAGACCUCAAGAUCAUCGAGUCCAACCUCUAACCUAACACUAACAGUCCCCACUAAACCAUAUCCCUAAGCUCUACAUCUAAAUGUCUUUUGAAGACUUCCAGGGGUGGUGACUCCACCACCUCCCUGGGCAGCCCGUUCCAGUGCCUCACAACCCUUUCAGUAAAGAAAUUCUUCCUAACAUCUAACCUAAAACUCCCCUGGUGCAAGGGGAGUUUUAAAAAACAACUUUUUUUUUUUUUUUUUUUUUUUGUUAAAAAACAGCUGAGGCUGAAGUCCUGAGGAGGAACAUCCAUCCCUCAGUUAUGCUGUGUUCAUGGAAAUCGAAUUGAUUGAGCAACCUGUCUACUGGAGGUUGGAGCAAGAUGAUCUUUAAGGUCCCUUCCAACCCCAACCAUUCUGUGAUUCUAUGACAGAUGAUUAAUUGAGGAAUACAUAAAUUUCAUUCACCUCAUCUGCUUCUCUUGCCCAUCUGAUCCCCAGAUUCUAAUUUUACUUCUGCAAGUACUUCUGCUGAUUCUUUUCAGCCUGUUUAUCUCUGACUGUAUGUCUGAUAACUGCGUUUAGUCCACCACCUCCUCUCCUGGAGUGGAACCUGAAAAUGAAAAGAUUAUGUUUCCAAACACUGGUUCCUCCAAGCAGGCUGGAAACAUCUCUGGUGCUGAGUGGCAGAUUGCCGUUUGUGUUUAGAAUGUUGCAACUAAAUCUUUUAAGGGUGAUUAUGGAAAAUGAGAAAUCAUUUCCUAAUAACACUGCUUGGAGCCAUUGCUGGAGGUUUACCUCCUCGCCUUUCAUGUGUGCCUGGGACUGGGAACCCCCCUGCGCUCUGCAGCGGGAUGAAGAACAGCAAUUAAAGGAUGGCCAUAUUCCCUCAGCAGUUCCAUAACCUGCUUUUUUGAAGCAGCUGCCUCAAGGAACUAGGUCCAUGACUAGUGCAGUCAAAAUCCAUAUGAAGGAUCUGCUCUUUCCUUUUUUCCUUUUCCUUCUCUCAUUCCCUUCUUCCCCUCGCCCCCCCCCCCCUCCUUUUUCCCUCCCUUUCUCCCUAACUCCCUCCUUCCUUUCUUUUCUUUCUCUUUCUCCCUCUCCCUCUCAUGCUCUUUUUUUUUUUUUUUUCUUUUUUUUUUUUUUUCCCACUUUUACAGUGAAUAAUCUAGUUGGCUGGUAGGAAGCCUUAUGAAGGGCUAAUUCAAGGAUAAAGCAAGAGUGUUUAUAUUUAUCCUGUGUUUGGUCACAAGAGAUUCUCUUUCAUUUCAUUUGAAAUCAUAAAACAUAGUUAGCUUAUACACCAUAAAUAAUGUUAGCUUUCAAAAAAUCUAUGAAAGAAUGGCAGUGUGUCUUUGCUGAGGGCAAUUUAAAACCUCUUGUGUGAGCUGAUCAAAUUAAAUAAAGCUUCUGUGCUGUCAAGGUUCA
rnacentral:lncRNA from 1 species